CGAUUGAGGCGCGGUAAAUAUCAGUAAGGCUUAUGAAGUCUUCAGGGACUUGUGAUUAAGCACGAAAGGAUUUACUGCCGAAGUGCUCAUAAACCUGGAUUUUUGAGUGCUGGGUGUAUUGCAAAUAGCAAUGCAACUGUCAUCAUUAUGAUGGAGUGCUUUCGUA
rnacentral:ncRNA from 1 species